UUGUAUAUCACUACAGUAAAUUUAGGAAACAAGCGAUUCCAAAGAACAAUAUAAUAUAACAAAAGAUAAUUAAUUAUUAGAAAUUCCAUAUAAAAUGAAAAUAAUUCUUGAUUACGCAAAUUAGGUUUUAUUUCUAUCUGUAUUUUGUAUAUAUUAUUUUCUUGUUAUAUUAUUGCACCUCUAAGCAGCAAUGCUUAGCGCAAUGGACUUGUUUCCUAGCGCGAUGGAUUUGAAGGUAAAGCCUAGCGAAUAUUAAACAGAGAUUUUGAAGUUUUGAUCUGUAGAAGUGUCAAAAGUGUAUAAGUUUGUCACCUCUUCAGCAAUGCAUAUAGAUAGGGCUCACAUUAGUUUGGCUAUUUCAUAUGUAAUCAAUUUAUACAUCAUGUAAAUUAUGAGAUUAUGUAAUUAUUUUGUAAAUUA
rnacentral:misc_RNA from 1 species